UUUAACUGAGCGUUCAGUUACUUGACGUAGACCCGAAACCGGGCGACCUACCCAUGAGCAGGAUGAAGCGAAAGUAAAAUUUCGUGGAGGUCCGAACCCACGAGCGUUGAAAAGCUCGGGGAUGACUUGUGGGUAGCGGUGAAAUUCCAAUCGAGCCCGGAGAUAGCUGGUUCUCCCCGAAAUAGCUUUAGGGCUAGCCUCAAGGUGAGAGAUACGGAGGUAGAGCACUGAAUGUCCUAGGGGGUAUUGCACCUACCGAAGACUAUCAAACUCCGAAUGCCGUCAUCUUAUACUUGGGAGUCAGACUGUGGGUGAUAAGAUUCAUAGUCGAAAGGGCAACAGCCCAGAUCGUCAGCUAAGGUCCCUAAAUGUAAGUUAAGUGGUAAAGGAUGUGGGAUUGCACAGACAACCAGGAUGUUGGCUUAGAAGCAGCCACUCAUUCAAAGAGUGCGUAAUAGCUCACUGGUCGAGUGAUCCUGCGCCGAAGAUUUCCGGGGCUAAAACUUACUACCGAAGCUACGGCAUCAGUAAUGAUGGGUAGGGGAGCUUCCCAUACGGGUUGAAGC
rnacentral:rRNA from 1 species